ACUGGCGUGGCAGAAGGGUAAUGCAUAGCUUGACAAUGACCUCCUUGACAAAAGAGUACUUGGUCAAAGCUAAGGUUGCGGGUUCAAGUCCCGUCGUCAGUA
rfam:Gymnopus luxurians FD-317 M1 unplaced genomic scaffold GYMLTscaffold_18, whole genome shotgun sequence.